AUGUUAUACGGUUCUUUUGGCCACUUCCAAGCAAGUAGAUCUGGAGUACAUAAAGGAGGGUUGCAUUCAACACUGGUGAAGGCUGGCUUUGUGGCUACAAGAAUUUCAGUGACUUCUCUCAACCAGGAAAUUGUUAGAGCCUUGGCAAGAGAAGGAAUACCGUCUGUUGGGAUGUCACCAUUUGCUUGUGGAUGGUCUACUCAGCGAAGAGAUCUUGCAUCAGCCAAUGCUUCUCAAAUCAUUGAGUCACUCCAUGCUGGUUUUGUCCCUGUUUUGCACGGAGAUGCUGUUCUUGAUGAAUCGCUGGACUGCACCAUAUUGAGUGGGGAUGUCAUUAUACGCCACCUUGCACAGCUUUUGACUCCAAAAUAUGUCGUGUUUCUGACAGAUGUUCAUGGAGUAUAUGACCGUCCUCCAACUGACCCAAAUGCAGUACUUCUCAAAGAGAUAGAGGUAGAUGACAACGGAGGCUGGUCGAUUGUAAAACCUGCAUUACAAGGCAACAGAAAAGAAGUGGAGAUAUCAGUAGCCGCACACGACACCACUGGAGGAAUGGAGACCAAAAUACUGGAAGCUGCCGCGAUAGCUAGGCUUGGAGUUGAUGUGUACAUCACAAAGGUUGACACUGAGCACUCCCUGAGAGCCUUGAAGGGGGAUGUGAACACAAGCUCGGACGAUUGGCUUGGGACUGUUAUACGCGCUGCCAAAUAG
rnacentral:rRNA from 1 species